GUGCGUGCGCACGCGCGCUGUCCCCCGGAGGCGUCUGGGUGUGCGGAGCGCGCGCGCGCGGCUCGGAGGCGCACCUGUGAGGUGUCCCUUGAGGAGAGGGAGGGUGGGUGCGCGGAGUCCGCGGCCUGGGGCGCUUCAGCCCCUCACUUGGAAGCGCCCUGCGUCCCGGCAGAGCCCGCCGAGCAUCCCGCCAGGUGAUGAGGAGCCCUCCGCGCACCCAGCGCAGAACGCCGCUGCCGCUGGACGCCUCCAUUGUUUGACCACAAUAAGGGCCGGAUUCUCACCCAGACCUGCAAAUCCAAGAGAUACAUCUCUCUGGAAGAUAAGAGAGCUUCUUCCUCAAGAUCAAAAAAGGAGACUGGAGUGAGAUCCAUGUAGGGAAUCCCCAGGAGGAAGGAUUGGCACACCUGGAACCCGAGGAGCUUGCUUCCUGGGAAGGCUCCUGUCUGAUGUGUAGGAGACAGAAUGUCCUACUGACUCUUCAAAGGGAGGCUCCAGGGGAUCGAGACCAACACGCAGUAUCUCACUCUCUACCACUGGGGACACUGUACAGUCCUUUUUCUAGAAGUGGAAAGUACGAGAUUGUUCUACAAGAGGAAGAUUCCAGGGGCUUAAAAACACAGAGGUUUGCACCUUGGGAGCCCCUUGGAAUGUUGACAACUCAGGAUCUAAAGGAAAGUUCUGUGUUAAUGAGUUACAGAAUUCACAUGGAAGUAAAUGUCACUUUAUGAUCAAUAAUAAUACUGAGUGAGGAGCACUAUGCAGGAAGAAAUCUUCCAUAGAAAGACAGGCAGGGAGAAGCUUAGGCCAACCUUAGACCUACCUAAUAGAGCAAGCUUGAGAUAAACUGCCAGAAUGGCCAAAUAAGAGACUCUAUGAAAUAGCAAUCCUGUAACUGUAAUAGUCAUACAGAAAUUUUCUCCUCUAAAUCACGAUACCAAAUAGGAAAAAUGAUCUACAAGUGC